rnacentral:lncRNA from 1 species
GAUAUCACAAGCAAAGGUAUUUUCUUUUUUCCUUUUCUAUUUUUAAUGAUUCAUUUUUUACUAAAUAAAAAUUUAUUUUUAGAUUUUUUUAUUAAGUGUUAAAAUUUUCAAUUUUGUGUAAAUUAAUUUAAAUUUUUAACACUUGUUUUUGUUUUUAUUAAAAACUGUUUUUAAACCUAUAUUUUUAUACUACUAUUAAAGUUUUAAGGUUUUUCUUAUUAAAUAUUAAAUUUUUAAAUUUUGUGUAAACUAAUUGGAUACAUCAUCCAAUCCCCUAAGAGGUGUUCUAGGUUCAAUAGAUGGUUUACACAUCAUUUAAAUUUUUAACACUUGUUUUUUAUAUUUAUUAAAUAAAUGUUUUUAAACCUAAAUUUUUAUACUACUAUUAAAAUUUGAAGUUUUUUUUUAUUAAGUGUUGAAUUUUUAAAUUUUGUGUAAACUAAUUGGAUACAUCAUCCAAACCCCUAAGAGGUGUUCUAGGUUCAAUAUGGUUUACACAUUAUUUAAAUUUUUAACACUUGUUUUUCUUAUAUCAAAAAUAUGUUUUAAACCUUUAUUUUUAUACUACUAUUAAAGUUUUAAGUUUUUUUAUUAAGUGUUAAAUAUUUAAAUUUGUGUAAGCUAAUUGGAUACAUCAUCCAAACCCCUAAAUAGUGUUCUAGUUUCAAUAUGGUUUACACAUUAUUUAAAGUUUUAACACUUGUUUUCCUUAUAUUAAAAAAUGUUUUAAACCUAUAUUUUUCUAUUACUAUUAAGAUCUUAAGUUUUUUUUUUAAUUUUGUGUAAACUAAUUGGAUAAAUCUUAACUCCUAAGAGGUUAGGUUCAAUAUGGUUUACAUAUAAUUUAAUUUUUCUUAUAUUAAAAAAUGUUUCUAUUUUUAUUUUACUAUUAAGAUUUUAAAUUUUUUUUUGUUAAGUGUAAAAAAUUAAAAUUUUGUGUAAACUAAUUGAAUAUAACAUUCAAACCUGUAAGAGGUGUUUAUAGGUUCAAUAUGAUUUAUAUAUAAUUUAAAUAGUUUGCUAUUUUGUUUAGAAUCAAAAUAUUUUUAAAUGACAUGUUGUAAUAAUUGACCAAAAGAAAUUAGUGUGUGAUUUUGUUGAAAUGCAGAGUACAAAGCCUUAAUUUAUACCAAGUUAUGGUAUCUAUAACGUAUAUGAAUACCAAAAUUUUAUUAUUUUUAAUUGGUGUUGUAUUUUAUAAUUCGAAAUAAUUAGGGGAACGGGCAAAACCUCUCUGUUCUCUCGCUUAUAUUUUUUUUAGAGAGAAAGCAAAUCAGUUUCAACGAUCGGAUAUUUUCUGGUGUUAGCCGUCCUGACUUUUUGGGCUUUCUGUCCGAUAUCACCGGCUCUGGUAGCGGUGUUGGUUGGCUCUAGUCCGGCAGCGUCUUGUUCACAUAACCGGUGGUUGCUGGCUCUUGGUUUCUCUCGUCGAUGUAGAUCGAUUUUUAAUCUGUGUUUUUUUAUUUUCAUGUUUUGUUUUUAAUAAUUCUCAUCUGAGACAUGUUGGUGAUAGAGUGAAUGCAAUCUCGCUUUCUAAUGCUUCUUAUCCGAUCUGUUCUUUUUUAAGUUUUGAUUUACAGAAAUUUUUGGAGAAAUUUGAGAAUGAUGUUGAAGAAAAGAAGUGGAUUCUGUUGUUAAUUAUCAUAGCCUUAAGCUGUUGUAUAUUUAACAUGAGCCUCGAUUGCUUUUUAUCGGUGAAAAAACAAAAAGAUCCAUGUUCUAUGAGACUAUCGACGGUGAUUCUUUCACCGAAAUCGGUGCUCAGACGGCGAAAAUGAAGUCGGUUCGCUUUAGAGUACUCAUCUGACACGUAUAUUAAUAUAUCGACAUGUGGUUUGGGAUAGAGUCAAACUAUAGUUUCUUCUUCUAUGAAAGACUCUCUGUUGGCCUAUUUGGUCCUAAAUCGUUUCUGUAAUCGCGGACUUUUCUUUAAGCUUUGACUAUCUUGAUUAAUACAAUAUUUCUCUUGGGACA